CAGUAGCCGCGGUAAUACGUAGGUGGCAAGCGUUGUCCGGAAUUAUUGGGCGUAAGGCGCGCGCAGGUGGUUUAAUAAGUCUGAUGUGAAAGCCCACGGCUCAACCGUGGAGGGUCAUUGGAAACUGUUAAACUUGAGUGCAGGAGAGAAAAGUGGAAUUCCUAGUGUAGCGGUGAAAUGCGUAGAGAUUAGGAGGAACACCAGUGGCGAAGGCGGCUUUUUGGCCUGUAACUGACACUGAGGCGCGAAAGCGUGGGGAGCAAACAGGAUUAGAUACCCCAGUAGUCCCUGUCUCUUAUAC
rnacentral:rRNA from 1 species